UUUCCACGGCAGCCACCCUCCGAGGGCCAUCACCAUUGAGGCUUGCAAGAGCCUCAGGACCGAACUCGGCAGUAUGCGGCAUCUUGUAGCGCCACUUUUUGUUGUAGUGAGCACUGUUUAUAAAAGUAGCGGCGUUACCCGCGCUCGGCGUCAGAUCUCGUCAGCAAGCGCGACUUGAGCAUCAACAGCAGCGGUCCGAACGCCCCAUCAGCGUUUGCUGCUCGCACCGGCGCUGAGAAACGAUAGUAGGUGUGCGUGUUCGCAACCGGACACGGGAAACGCAAGCGCAAGAGGUCACUGACGUAGCGGCUUUUGGACAAAGUCAACUUUGAACUUUUCUGGCAGAGAAGAUUUGUGAAACAAGAGACGAAAGGAAACAACAACUUUAGACGGACAUCGACAAGAGUUAACUGGCGGUGUUGAGCUAUUCGGUGUAAUUCCGAGCUAUACCCUGUCUGAAGCGAACCUUCUAAUUACACAGACAGCUUGUCAGCUGCUCGUGGACUAGACGACAGGAAGUAGGUGGAAAAAAAGCUGAAGAACGAAGCGGACCUAUCCAACAAACAAGUUUAUGCCUAGGACUAUCCGACUAACUGGCUAUCGGCGGUACAUCUAAAGUGUGAUCCUUGUUCUUUACUGUUUUCAUUGCCUUUGAUAGUGUGAACCUUAUUGAGCAACGAGGGCGCUUGUGGGUCGCUCUGCUGUGCACACAGGCACAUCGAUAUGCAAUUUAGGAUAAACGCGUUCUUGCCCCUGGGGCCUGCCACUCUUUGUGUUCUCCUAGCACUAACCUUUCUAUCGGCGGUCCCUACGGCCGCCCAGGAUGAUCGUGACCGGUCCGGAGUUGCGGAAAUGGUUCAAUCGCUAUCUCCAGAAGAGCAACUUUUUUAUGACGUCCUUGUCAAGCGGCCAAAUGCAAAUCACCGUUACGGGUUUGGACUUGGCAAACGUAGUCCGGAACCUACACCAGCUCAGCCGUUUCAAGAUGAGCCCACAUUCUCCACCUUCAAGCGGCGACAAUACAACUUCGGUCUAGGCAAGCGACCAUGGCCCAUGAGUGACAAUGAGGAAUAUCGCAAAAGGAAGUAUAACUUUGGGCUCGGAAAACGCUCGGAGUAAGCUAGCUGAGUUUACGCCGACACUACGCGAAAAUCAAAAUAUAUGAAACUACUGCAAAACUAUAAUCGGAAGAGAACAGCGUGACGGAAAAGAAAAUCUAUUUAGAAAUAAUUUAGACUUACGUUGUUUACCAAAAUACAUUUAAAAAUACUGAAUUGUCGUGACAAAAGCGAACGACGAAAAAUGACUCAGCGAAAACUGUACGGACAAUCGGAUAGGCACCGUUUAUUUGCUGCGUGGACUUCAGAACUGUGUCAAGCCGUUAGGGAACGCGAUUCCCUAUACAAACAGUAGCCUUGUAAGGCCUCUAUCCAUGUAGAGGAACUCUGAAGGAAUCCUAAAACAGAAUAACUUAUCCCCGUUUAUUUAUUUGUUUGAUUUGCAUUAAAAUUUCUUUAUGUGGAGGAGCCAUGUGCAAAAACUUCGAUAUGAUCAAGAAACCUGUUCUUUCCACAGCAGUAAUGGCGUCCCCGAUCGACUUCCCGAAAAUGCAACGUAGCUACCGUCAACCUUCCUUAUGAAUACUAGUCAUUAGAGAAAUAGACAAAAAUGAGCGACUCAAUUGUGUUGUACAUAUAUGUAUUGAUGACGAGCGUCUAUAAAGAGGAAUAGUAUUGGUCAAUAAGAGGUGAGGAGCAAGAGGCGAUAACAGGUCAACAAAGAGCGCUGAUCAUAUAUAUAUAUAUACAAAAAUAUUAGAUAGGAGACUCAGACAAAAGCGCUGCUCAUAGAUCUUAAAAGAUACUAAAAACAAAGGUAGUUUAUUUCACAGCUGAUUAAAUUACAGCGUCACAGACAGCAUCCGACAAGCAUCGACACUACCGAAACAAGCAGCAACAAAAAUAGCUCUAUCAAAAGGAGAAGUAAAGUCUAACAGAUAAAAAAAAAAGCAGCUGAACUUCAGCAAGUGAAUGAACGACUAAAGUCGAAAACAUUUGUAUUUCGACAGGUUAAUAACAAGGCUGACAGCCGCGUCAGCAACAGCAAGAUUAUGAUUCAGUUCAAUACCUGUUAUGGUGCUAAAUAGCAAAACCCAAAAAAAAAAUGUUAAACUUGACUAUUAUUCGAUUCGCCUUUUGUUCACCCUCGAUUCAUUUUAGAAGUCAGAAUCCGCAGUCAAACACAAAUUAUACUCGUGAAGGUUUCUUGCCUUGCCCGACAAAAAAGCAUUCUUGGAUCCGAAAAAACUAGGCUUUCCGCAACUUAUGAAGCUUCAAGUCUUCAUGUAAAAGACACAAGCAUACUUCUGGCAGAUGCCGGAGCAGAAGACUGCAAAGAUUAUACUCAUCAAUUAGGAACGAUGCCUAAUUAACAACGAAGAGGCCAUUGCCGUUAGUAAUGAGUCGACAUUGAAAAGAACUGUCAAAAAACUAACAAUCAUGUUAACUUGGCAACUACCUUAUGGCGUUUCAAGUUGCUGCGAAGGCAAAAACAAAAGAAAAGGUCUAUAAUGUACACGGUAACAGAAACAAAAAAGCAAAAAGGGCUAGGUAAUAACGCCAUAUGAAGUCCAUAUGCAUGCCCAAAAAACGUACAUAAAUAAUGAUUCACAAUAAAACAAAGAAAAGACAGUACAGGGUAACCCAAUCAGGAGAUGCGAGCGGAGUGUACGAACUCAGUUGUAUCUAGUAGUCUGAUCUUUUUCAAGAUCUUUUAGCGUAUAGAUCUUGUAGACGCCAGAUGCACAAAUGCUGUAGAUAUGCAGUCAAGGUAUGCGACAAUAUGCUAUACCUGUGACAUACAGGCCAAAACUUAACAGACGAUGCGAAAUUAGAUAUUGCCGAAUCGCCAUUCUCAGAUAAAUACCAAGAACCUAACACUAAUAUAACAGAUGAAAUAUCCCCAAAAUAUUCAGUGGUUCAGGUCGCAUUUUCGGGGUGCCAUGCUAUCUGUGGCCAUAUAUAUGUACUCAUUAUAUUGGUGUCAAAAAACGAACGAAUAAUUCUUUAAGCAGAACAAAACAUUGCAGGCAUAUCUCAAAAUUCAUGCACCGCGGCAACGACGAUACGCACAGAUUGAGCUGAACAACACUGAAACAAAUUUUACAUGAAAGGUGCCUCAAGAUGCGCAUUUAUGAGUAAGUAGGUUUUUUUUGGCCUAAAAGGACAGACUCGAUGCCUUGAACCUGAAAUUAAGUUGCCUGAGAUACGUGUGCACUUACCUACCCAAUUAUGUCGCAUGUUGUCAUUCGUCUGAAAAUAGUACCAAGUUCUCCUUGACGUCAAUAAGUAAGGCGGACGCAAGACCCCCGACAACUUGCUUACAACGGGUCACUGAGAAACUAAAGCCACUAGUACUUUUAUGGCUCUUUGUAUAAAUCCAUGAGUUCAGUGGCUACAUUUGGAUUUGUUCCAGAAAAUAUAUUUCACAUAACCACCCAGCGGUGUUUAUAGCAAAUCGCAAGAAAAUUAAAUACAAAUAUAAGAACACGACGAAUGUUCAGACGAGACGGUACUGUCUCUACUAACACACAAACAUACAUACACUCUAAUACAACCUGCUAACCUAUCAGCUAGGAUCUUGUAGACCGAACAGGGUGUUUUAGGCAAGACCACGCUGAACAAUACUUCUCAGACCACCUAUGGGAAUACCUAAAAUAGAAUUUUUUUUCAUAGCGAUGCCCAACAACACAGACCAGCGUGAUUUUUCUAAUUUGAAUCAGGUUUCGUUUACGCGGAUAAAGCUUCUGCUGCAAUGACCUCCACAAGGUGUUUAGUUUGCUGUACAGAUUUUCAUUCGCCAUUCAAUUCGAAAUUAAUAUGAUAAAGCAAAAACAGAGAAACGUAUCGAGCCCAUAUUCGCAACGGGAAGUUAUUGAUCAACUGA
rnacentral:lncRNA from 1 species